UGCGUAGGCGGAUUAAUAAGUCAGUGGUGAAAACCUGCAGCUUAACUGUAGAACUGCCAUUGAUACUGUUAGCCUUGAGUACGGUCAAGGUAGGCGGAAUGUGUAAUGUAGCGGUGAAAUGCUUAGAUAUUACACAGAACACCGAUUGCGAAGGCAGCUUACUGGGCCAUUACUGACGCUGAGGCACGAAAGCGUGGGUAGCGAACAGGAUUAGAUACCCUGGUAGUCC
rnacentral:rRNA from 1 species